GACGAACGCUGGCGGCGUGCUUAACACAUGCAAGUCGAACGGAAAGGCCCUGCUUUUGUGGGGUGCUCGAGUGGCGAACGGGUGAGUAACACGUGAGUAACCUGCCCUUGACUUUGGGAUAACUUCAGGAAACUGGGGAUAACACCGGAUAGGAGCUCCUGCUGCAUGGUGGGGGAUGGAUUGUUUCGGCGGUUUGGGAUGGACUCGCGGCUUAUCAGCUUGUUGGUGGGGUAGUGGCUUACCAAGGCUUUGACGGGUAGCCGGCCUGAGAGGGUGACCGGCCACAUUGGGACUGAGAUACGGCCCAGACUCCUACGGGAGGCAGCAGUGGGGAAUAUUGCACAAUGGGCGGAAGCCUGAUGCAGCAACGCCGCGUGCGGGAUGACGGCCUUCGGGUUGUAAACCGCUUUCGCUUGUGACGAAGCGUGAGUGACGGUAACGGGUAAAGAAGCACCGGCUAACUACGUG
rnacentral:rRNA from 1 species